rnacentral:rRNA from 1 species
GACGAACCGUGCGAACGUUGUUCGGAAUUACUGGGCGUAAAGCGCACGUAGGCGGCUACUCAAGUCAGAGGUGAAAGCCUGGAGCUCAACUCCAGAACUGCCUUUGAAACUAGGUAGCUUGAACACGGGAGAGGUGAGUGGAAUUCCGAGUGUAGAGGUGAAAUUCGUAGAUAUUCGGAAGAACACCAGUGGCGAAGGCGGCUCACUGGACCGUUGUUGACGCUGAGGUGCGAAAGCGUGGGGAGCAAACAGG